rnacentral:rRNA from 1 species
CAGCCGCCGCGGUAAAACCAGCACCUCAAGUGGUCAGGAUGAUUAUUGGGCCUAAAGCAUCCGUAGCCCGUUUUGUAAGUUUUCGGUUAAAUCCAUGCGCUUAACGUAUGGGCUGCCGGGAAUACUGCAUAACUAGGAAGUGGGAGAGGUAGACGGUACUCGGUAGGAAGGGGUAAAAUCCUUUGAUCUAUUGAUGACCACCUGUGGCGAAGGCGGUCUACCAGAACACGUUCGACGGUGAGGGAUGAAAGCUGGGGGAGCAAACCGGAUUAGAUACCCGGGUAGUCCCAGCUGUAAACUAUGCAAACUCAGUGAUGCAUUGGCUUAUGGCCAAUGCAGUGCUGCAGGGAAGCCGUUAAGUUUGCCGCCUGGGAAGUACGUACGCAAGUAUGAAACUUAAAGGAAUUGGCAGGGGGAGAAACA